rnacentral:rRNA from 1 species
CCUACGGGUGGCAGCAGUGAGGAAUAUUGGUCAAUGGGCGCGAGCCUGAACCAGCCAAGUCGCGUGAGGGAAGACGGUCCUAUGGAUUGUAAACCUCUUUUGUCGGGGAGCAAAAGACGCCACGCGUGGCGUUCCGAGAGUACCCGAAGAAAAGACAUCGGCUAACCCCGUGCCAGCCGCCGCGGUAAUACGGAGGAUGUGAGCGUUAUCCGGAUGUAUUGGGUUAAAAGGGUGCGCAGGCGGAAGGUCAAGUCAGCGGUAAAAUUGAGGGGCUGAACCUCUUCGAGCCGUUGAAACUGGUUUGCUUGAGUGAGUGAGAAGUAUGCGGAAUGCGUGGUGUAGCGGUGAAAUGCAUAGAUAUCACGCAGAACUCAGAUUGCGAAGGCAGCAUACCGGCGCUCAACUGACGCUCAUGCACGAAAGUGUGGGGAGCGAACAGGAUUAGAUACCCCUGUAGUC